rnacentral:ncRNA from 1 species
CAAAAGUAAAUAGCGCCAGACUGCUGAGGCAGUGACGAGGACUGGAUUUAUCGAAAAUUCGGCGGAUGAUCCAGGGGUUGCACAAUCCAAAGAUUAGUAACAAAGCUCUAAGGGACCAAAAGGCUAAUCGGGUGUGAAG